UACGAAGGGUGCAAGCGUUACUCGGAAUUACUGGGCGUAAAGCGUGCGUAGGUGGUGAGGUAAGUCUGUCGUGAAAGCCCCGGGCUCAACCUGGGAAUGGCGAUGGAUACUGGCUCGCUAGAGUGCGGUAGAGGGUGGUGGAAUUCCCGGUGUAGCAGUGAAAUGCGUAGAGAUCGGGAGGAACAUCAGUUGCGAAGGCGGCCACCUGGACCAGCACUGACACUGAGGCACGAAAGCGUGGGGAGCAAACAGG
rnacentral:rRNA from 1 species